AGUCGUUGAAUUUCUUAUUAUUUACAUAUCAUCAUCUUCAAACCCCACUCUUUUUCUCUUUCACCAUUUACGUAUGUACUAUUAUCACACCAGCUGAUCUCAAUCUCAAAUUCUCAAUUCAAACCCUAACGCUAUCAAAUCGCUCAGUUCGAACGAAGAUUCAGCACAUUUCUCUCUCAGAUCUCUCAUUCGGAUCUUCCGGUUCAACAUUCACUCACGGAUUUCACAUCAAAAACCUAAUUUUAAUCUUCAAAAAUGCCUCUCAGACUCGAGAUCAAGAGGAAACUUGCUCAAAGAUCAGAGAGAGUAAAAUCUGUGGAUCUACAUCCAACAGAGCCAUGGAUCCUCACAAGUUUGUAUUCAGGAACGGUCUGCAUCUGGGAUUACCAGGCUCAGGCAAUAGCAAAGUCCUUUGAGGUUACUGAGUUACCAGUCAGAUCAGCAAAGUUUGUAGCCCGCAAGCAGUGGGUUGUUGCAGGUGCAGAUGACAUGUUUAUCCGGGUGUACAAUUACAAUACAAUGGAUAAAGUCAAAGUUUACGAGGCCCAUACAGAUUAUAUCCGGUGUGUGGCAGUCCACCCUACACUCCCGUAUAUCUUAUCAUGUUCUGAUGACAUGCUUAUAAAGCUUUGGGACUGGGAAAAAAGUUGGUAUUGUACUCAAAUAUUUGAGGGACACUCACAUUAUGUCAUGCAAGUGACGAUUAAUCCAAAAGACACAAAUACUUUUGCAAGCGCUUCACUUGAUCGCACGAUAAAGAUCUGGAAUCUUGGCUCACCUGAUCCUAACUUCACACUAGAUGCCCAUCUUAAAGGUGUGAACUGUGUGGAUUAUUUCACAGGUGGUGAUAAACCUUAUCUAAUUACUGGAUCCGAUGAUCAUACUGCUAAGGUGUGGGAUUACCAAACCAAAACAUGUGUCCAGACUUUAGAAGGUCACACACACAACGUUUCAGCUGUAAGCUUUCACCCGGAACUGCCUAUAAUAAUUACGGGUUCCGAGGAUGGUACUGUACGUAUAUGGCAUUCAACUACUUAUAGACUUGAGAACACUUUGAAUUAUGGACUUGAAAGGGUUUGGGCUAUUGGAUGCAUGAAAGGUUCACGGCGGAUUGCUUUUGGUUAUGAUGAAGGGACCAUAAUGGUGAAAGUUGGUAGAGAAGAGCCUGUAGCUAGCAUGGACAACAGUGGAAAAAUUAUAUGGGCUAAGCAUAAUGAAAUUCAAACCGUAAACAUCAGGAGUGUGGGAGCUGAUUAUGAGGUCUCUGAUGGGGAGAGAUUGCCUUUAGCAGUUAAAGAGUUGGGAACAUGUGAUCUUUACCCACAAAGCUUGAAACACAACCCGAAUGGUAGGUUUGUUGUUGUCUGUGGUGAUGGUGAAUACAUCAUAUAUACAGCUUUGGCAUGGAGAAAUAGAUCCUUUGGUUCUGCAUUGGAGAUUGUUUGGUCAUCUGAUGGUGAAUAUGCUGUUAGAGAGAGUACAACUAAAAUAAAGAUUUUUAACAAAUCUUUUCAGGAAAAGAAGAGUAUCCGACCAACAUUUUCUUGUGAGCGCAUAUACGGAGGAUCUUUGUUGGCAAUGUGUUCAAAUGAUUUUAUAUGUUUCUAUGAUUGGGCCGAGUGCAGAUUGAUUCAACGAAUUGAUGUUAAUAUCAAGAACCUCUACUGGGCAGACAGUGGUGAUAUGGUGGCGAUUGCCAGUGAUUCAUCAUUCUACAUACUGCAGUACAAUCGUGAUGUCGUGUCAGCACAUCUAGAUAGUGGAAAAUCUGUAGAUGAGGAAGGUAUUGAAGACUCCUUUACAAUUCUUUCUGAAGUCAGCGAGAGAGUUAGAACUGGAUUGUGGGUUGGGGACUGUUUUAUCUACAAUAAUUCUUCAUGGCGACUUAAUUAUUGUGUUGGCGGUGAGGUAACCACAAUGUUCCAUUUGGACCGGCCAAUGUACCUUCUUGGGUAUCUAGCUAAUCAAAGCAGGGUUUAUCUCAUCGACAAGGAAUUCAAUGUCAUUGGAUACACGUUACUGCUCACACUGAUAGAGUACAAGACACUUGUGAUGCGCGGAGAUCUAGAACGAGCUAAUGAUGUAUUUCCUACAAUUCCAAAAGAGCAUCAUAAUAGUGUUGCUCACUUUUUGGAAUCACGAGGAAUGAUUGAGGAAGCUCUAGAUGUUGCUACUGAUCCCGACUAUAGAUUUGAGCUUGCCAUUCAGCUUGGCAAACUAGAAACCGCAAGGGAUAUUGCCGUAGUAGCACAAAGCGAGUCGAAAUGGAAGCAGUUGGGUGAAUUAGCUAUGUCUGCUGGACUGUUGGAGAUGGCUGAAGAUUGUUUGAAGCAUGCAAAUGACUUGAGUGGUCUGCUUCUGCUUUACUCUUCUUUGGGAGAUGCUGAAGAGAUAGCAAAACUUGCGUAUCUCGCUAAAGACAGUGGAAAAAACAAUGUUGCCUUUGCUUGUCUAUUCAUGCUGGGUAAAUUGGAAGAUUGUCUGCAGUUGUUGGUUGACAGCAAUCGGAUACCUGAAGCUGCUCUGAUGGCACGGUCUUAUCUUCCAAGCAAGGUUUCAGAAAUAGUUGCUCUUUGGAGAAAAGACCUUAACAAGGUUAACCAGAAAGCAGCAGAAUCUUUAGCAGAUCCUGAAGAGUACCCAAAUAUGUUUGAGGACUGGCAAAUUGCACUUGAAGUUGAAGCAAGAGCUGCAGAUACAAGGGGUAUUUAUCCUCCAGCAACAGAGUAUGUGAACUAUGUGGAUAGAUCACAUGUCAACCUUGUGGAAGUCUUCAAACACAUGCAAUUGGAUGAUGAAGAGCCACAUGAAAAUGGAGAGCUGAAUCAUGAGCUACAGGGUGUAGAAGAAAACGAAAACGAAGGGGAAUUUGUUGAUGGUGAAGAAAUUGAGCAAGAAGAAGAUGCCGUUGCAAUGGAUAACGAUUCUUCAGAUGGUCCUGUACUCGUUAACGGUAACGAGACUGAAGAAGAGUGGGGUACGAAUAAUGCAGGAAAUCCUUCAGCCUAAAAGCAAUUGGUUGGUUGGGGCAGUAUGAAAAUUCCUAAUUUUAUGUGCUUACACCGCUUCCGUAAGUCGACUCCUGAUGUUUCUUGAUUUGCACACUCCUUCAGGUAUCUGUUCAUGGUGUAAUUGUGUAAGCGCGUUGCUUUUUGUAUUUUGGGACAUAUAAUAUCAUAUAUACACUUCACCUUCGGGUUAGUAUUCGAGUUUAGUUACUCUCUAGGGGCACACAUUAUUGAUUUUUUAGGCGAUAAUUUUUCUUUUUCAAAUAAUAUUAAGUGUUACUGUGAAUGUAAAAAAACAACUAUAGGGGGUGUGAGCAGACGAAGAUUAUAUAGGUAUUUUUAUCUAAUUGUAAAUUUUCAUUUUGUACUCUGUUAGGAUUCUUUUAUUUUCUGGUGUGCUGUUGAUUUUAUGCAAUUUAA